GACAGAGGGGCAAGCGUUGCUCGGAAUUACUGGGCGUAAAGGGCGCGUAGGCGGGAUGGCAAGUCGGUCGUGAAAUCCCUCGGCUCAACCGAGGAACGUCGAUCGAUACUGCUGUUCUUGAGGAUUGCAGAGGAGACUGGAAUUCCCGGUGUAGCGGUGAAAUGUGUAGAGAUCGGGAGGAACACCGGUGGCGAAGGCGGGUCUCUGGGGCAAUUCCCUGACGCUGAGGCGCGAAAGCGUGGGGAGCAAACGGG
rnacentral:rRNA from 1 species